AUUGAACGCUGGCGGCAAGCCUAACACAUGCAAGUCGAACGAGUGGCGGACGGGUGAGUAAUGUCUGGGAAACUGCCUGUUGGAGGGGGAUAACUCCUGGAAACUGUAGCUAAUACCGCAUACCAUCUGAUGUGCCCAGAUGGGAUGAGCUAGUAGGUGGGGUAAAGGCUCACCUAGGUGACGAUCCCUAGGUGGUCUGAGAGGAUGACGAGCCACAUGGGAACGGAGACACGGUCCAGACACUUACGGGAGGCAGCAGUGGGGAAUAUUGCACAAGGGGGGGAAGCCUGAUGCAGCCAUGCCGCGUGUAUGAAGAAGGCCGUCGGGUGGUAAAGUACUUUCAGCGGGGAGGCGGUACCCGCAGAAGAAGCACCGGCUAACUCCGUGCCAGCAGCCGCGGUAAUUC
rnacentral:rRNA from 1 species